GGGAAUACCAGGGGUGGGCACUGUCAAGAGACCCAACUUUGACUUCAAAUGCCACCCAGAGGGACAACUGCUCACUUUCAGAGCAGGAGCAGGAGGCCAGCGGAGAGCGGGUCCCUAUGAUCCAGACCUCAGGAGAGGGUUCCUGGACAUCGCACAGAAAGGGAUUCAAGACUGGCUGAAACUGUUUAGAGCCAAGAUAGCCAACCAAAUGAGUUCAAGAAGACCUCAGGCUUCAUUAUCAUCUCAUUUCCAUGCUAAAAAAACCCCAGCUCCCCAGAGCAAUGGGAAAUAGUGGGCACUUCAUCAGGUGAGUUCGGGUGCAUUUCUAGAGAUUGUCCAGGGGCUGAUAACAAGAAUAGAGAACCAUCCAUAUCCACAAGCGGCAGAACCUCUUCCAGCAAAACGGAGGUGCCUCACCCAAAGGUGGCCGAGGAGGCCGUCGGAGGACCACAAAGCUGCAAGUGGCUUUUCUGGGGCCUGCAGGGAACAGUUGGAGGAUGCUUGGAAGGGCACCCACACCGGGUCUCACAGGAGUCUGCACCUACAGGUCACGCUGGCAUUAGCCCCUCAUCCUCUGGAGUUCAUCUCAUCCAGGCGAAGACAGCUCGCUGGCCUCAGAGGGUGAGAUGCAACUGGAGGGUAAAAACAUUUUUACGGGGCAUGGACACAAAAGUGGCCUUUACUUCUGGGUAAGCUUUUAAAACUUCCCAUCUACACGAAAAGUGUACUUUCUAUGUGCCACCAAGAAACCUAAACUAAGUAAAAGGUGUCUCACUUUAAUCAAGUUCCAGAAUGCGACAGCUCUGAAAAGCACUGUCGCAGCAGGAGAUUCGAGGGUGCAUGCAAAGCCAUGUUUCUAGAAAAUACCAAAGGAAACAGACACAACUCCAAUGUGGACUCCCACUUCCCUGCACUACUGCUCCAUCCCCAGGGUGGAGGCCACAUUGUCCAGCUGGCUGCGGGAACCUCAUCAUGCUCCUUGAGUGUGUGCAGCAGGUGUCUGCUGAAGUCCACAUUCUGCCUGUCUCAUCUGCUGAGCAGUGCCUCCUCCCGAUUCAGCACGUCCCUGGUGCUGACUUUCUGCAUGUGUUCACUUUGAGGAUGCAUUGUGGGCCUGCAAGAAAUGCAAAGCUGGUUGAGGCUUUAUUAAAUUCAAAUUCAAGCUGUUAAAUCGAGGCUCUCAGACUCCUGCUGCCUGGCCAGUGGAGAAAUCAACGUUCACAUAUGGCUUUGGGGUUUCUCUCUGUCAUUCUGAUUGACGUGUUCUCUCAUUUUUCUGAAGUCUGGGACCUCAACACAGACAUUUGGGUGAAGGCCUUGACAGUGGGGCUGGUGCAAAAUGAAUUGUCACAUCACACCCAACAUUCUCAACCUUUAGAAUCUGAAAGUAAGAAAAACACCUCAAACAAAACAUUAACGAUUGAAUAAUUCAAGGCACUCUCCUUGGUGCUGAAGAAGGUCUAAGGAGAUCUACACCACAGAGGCUGCACCCACUCCUCAGCCUUGCUGAGCCACACCAUUCUCAUCUCUACAGCAUCCACCUCUCUUGGCUCUUGUAAAGACUGAGACAUGCCAUCAGGCUUACUAUUGAUUCUGAGUAAUUAGCACAGAUUUCUAAAAGAAACUUUAUGGGAUGCUGAGACAUGAAUAAAAACAACUUUAUUCCUUUGGGAAGGACAACCCACAUGCUAAGAAGAUGAUACUGCACGUUGUUAUAGCCCGAAGGGCCCUCUUUCCACUGGGGAGCAGUGAGUAGAGGUUGCCCAUCUGGAUUCCCAAGUCAGAUAGAUAUGGAUUCAGAUCCCAGCUCUGCUGCUUGCUACCCAAGAGACCAUGGACUGUGGACUCUUUAGGUCUCAGGGUUUUAGUUUGUUGUCUGUUUUUCAUUUCCAAAACCAGUAAAUGAUAAGAUAUUUUCCAUAAGAUGGCGGUGGAGAAGAGAGCUUGAUGGACCUUGCUUGGACCAAAUGCCUUCACCACUAACUCAGUCAGCUAUGGCGAUGGGUCAAGGACCUGGUGGUUUUACAGAGAAGGCCCCUGGUCAAAUCUUUGUGAAUGAAGCAACCAUUCUGAUGUUCAAUAACGGGAAUGCACCAGUUUAUGCCAAACUAUCUGUACUAUUGAGAACAACAAAAAUAUCUGACCAAAAACACCAAAGAGUGACAUUUUAAAAGACAUCAAGGAACUCUCAAGGCUUCCAGAGUUGGAAAGAUCAAGAAAGAGAGAAUGCAACUUCAUUAAGUGACUCAGCUCCAAAUAGGAGCAUUUCAAGAGUAUGUAUUUCAACAAAGAAGUAUUAGAAGAUGACAGUGUCCUUGCAGUAUCUUUUAGGGGCUAUCAGAACAUGAUUUCUGCUAUAUUCUAUCAUCGGAGCCUUAAUAAUGUCAACUAUAAUUCAAGGGAAGAUCAAAUAACCUUCGCCUUUCAAGGAAACGAGUAACAAAGAA
rnacentral:lncRNA from 1 species